UUCAUGUUUCGUUACUUUCUUCGCUUUCUUCUACUCCAUCACUGUUAUUAUCACUUUCAAUUUCUUCUUCCAUCAUUUUAAUCUCUCUCAUAUCUGAGCUCCAUUUUCUCGUCAUUCAGCCAUGACUAAAAAGGUGACAACAAUGAUACUCGAGGUUGAUCUCCAGUGUGUGAAAUGCUACAAGAAGGUCAAGAAUGUUCUCUGUAAAUUCCCACAAAUUCAAGACCAGAAAUUCGAUGAGAAGAAGAACACUGUGACGAUUAAAGUGGUGAGCUGUAGCCCAGAGAAGAUUAUGGAUCAGCUUUGCCGUAAAGGUUGUGGCGCCAUUAAGAAAAUCAUAGUUCC